AUGCAAGCUACUAACGCAUAUGGUGGAUGCCUUGGCGUCAGGUGCUGAAGAAGGGCGUGGUAAGCUGCGAAAAGCCUCGGGUAGCCGCAAACAGGCGUUAAUCCGGGGAUACCCGAAUGGGGAAACCCGACUGGGCUAAAACCCAGUCAAUCCUUACUGAAUCCAUA
rnacentral:ncRNA from 1 species